AUGCGACGCGGCCGACUGGCUGGCGCACCGGAUACAAGCGUUUUCCUAAGGGGAUACACGAGUCCAUUUUUCAAAGCCCGCAGCAAACAAACUUCUCAACUCCUACCUUAUGGGCAUGGCCCAGUUUGUCAAACUACUGAGGUUACACAACGAUGGCUGCCACUUCCGGAGAGUUAUAAGAAAAUUAAUGUAGAUGGGGCAAUAUCAAACAAUUGGCAAAGAGGAGUUGGAGCGGCUAUUUGUAGGGAUCCUAAUGGUCAGUAUCAACUGGUCCUACAAUCCUGGAAACAUUGGCCUGCCGGGAAGCUAUGGUGCUUGCAAACGAUCUUGGCUGGCAGCGAAUUUUGUAGCCUCAGGUUGUCAAGGAGUGGUGGAGGACAUUGA
rnacentral:rRNA from 1 species